AAUGAACGCUGGCGGCGUGCCUAAUACAUGCAAGUCGAGCGAACGGACGAGAAGCUUGCUUUUCUGAUGUUAGCGGCGGACGGGUGAGUAACACGUGGAUAACCUCCCUAUAAGACUGGGAUAACUUCGGGAAACCGGAGCUAAUACCGGAUAAUAUUUUGAACCGCAUGGUUCAAAAGUGAAAGAAGGUCUUGCUGUCACUUAUAGAUGGAUCCGCGCUGCAUUAGCUAGUUGGUAAGGUAACGGCUUACCAAGGCAACGAUGCAUAGCCGACCUGAGAGGGUGAUCGACCACACUGGAACUGAGACACGGUCCAGACUCCUACGGGAGGCAGCAGUAGGGAAUCUUCCGCAAUGGGCGAAGGCCUGACGGAGCAACGCCGCGUGAGUGAUGAAGGUCUUCGGAUCGUAAAACUCUGUUAUUAGGGAAGAACAUAUGUGUAAGUAACUGUGCACAGCUUGACGGUACCUAAUCAGAAAGCCACGGCUAACUACGUG
rnacentral:rRNA from 1 species